rnacentral:rRNA from 1 species
UACGGGGGGGGCAAACGUUGCUCGGAAUCAUUGGGCGUAAAGCGCACGUAGGCGGCCUCGCAAGUCUGAUGUGAAAUCCCUCGGCUCAACCGAGGACGUGCAUCGGAAACUGCGGGGCUCGAGUACUGAAGAGGAUCGCGGAAUUCCCGGUGUAGAGGUGAAAUUCGUAGAUAUCGGGAGGAACACCAGUGGCGAAGGCGGCGAUCUGGGCAGAUACUGACGCUGAGGUGCGAAAGCGUGGGGAGCAAACAGG